AAAAAGAGCAUGGUUAGAAGAUUGAGGGAACUGAUCCUCCUCCUCUACUCUGCUGUGGUGAGGCUACAUCUGGAGUACUGUGUCCAGUUCUAGGCUCCCCAGUUCGAGACAGAUGGAGUAGUUCUAGAGAGAGUCCAUCUGAAGGCCACAAAGAUAAUUAGGGACCUGGAGCAUCUCCCUUAUGAGGAAAGAAUGAGAGACAUAGAACUAUUCAAUCUGGAGAAAAAAAAAGGCUGAGAGGACAUCUUAUUAAUACUUAUAAAUACGUAAUGAGCAGGAAUCAAGUGGAUGGGGCCAGGCUCUUUUCAGCAGUGAUCAGUGGCAGGAAGUUCCACGUGAACACGAGAAGAAACUUUACUUUGGGGAUGUCAGACCACUGGAACCAGUUGUGAACUAAGAGAUCAUCUGGACUGGGAGGAUUCAGAAACUGCAGAGCUCUGCAAAACCAUGGGGAUGUGUAGGGAAAACAGAGAAGGAGGAAUAAAGUGGGUGAUAGGUAGAAAAGAGUAUAAAAGGGCUAGUCACAUAUAAAAUAUGGCCAGUUAACAUGCUUGUCUGUCUGAGCCCUGUGCCUGAUCACUGCAGUCUGUCCUAUCUUCCUAUAUUUUCUCAUGAAAUCUUAAUCUCUUCACAUCUGUACUCUUUUUCAUGUGUAUUCGUACUGAAGAUCUAAUUGCCAGCUCCUGGAUGAGCUAAUAUAUGCAACUACAGCAAAAUUCAAGCUGGACUAGCUGGAGAAUAGGCAGCCUGUGAAGUGGAUAUGAGGGCCCAGGAUCCAAGCAGGGGUGCUGCAUGCACAGAAGGGCCAUGCCAGUACUCAAAUAAUCCUGGUGAGAGGAUGCUGGACAAAGAAGCUGUGCUGAUUCUUGAGAGGUCUGAUCAUGCCAGGAGCAGUAGUGGAGGCUACUUAUUGCGAAGCAGUGAAAUGAAAUCAAUGAAUCAAUCCAAUACUUGUUGCUGCAGUGUUUGACAGUGAGAAGCCAGAGAAUUUGGAGCAGAAUUUAGCACAUCACAUAUCAUUCUUAAAGGGGAACUCUACUUAGCAAUGUUUUAGGAAGAUUGCCUCAGCAAAUGGCAGCA
rnacentral:lncRNA from 1 species